rnacentral:rRNA from 1 species
GACGUAGGGGGCUAGCGUUGCUCGGAAUUACUGGGUGUAAAGGGUUCGUAGGCGGUGUGUCAAGUCGGGAGUGAAAUCUCUGGGCUCAACCCAGAGUCUGCUUCCGAAACUGCUGUGCUUGAGUGUGGGAGAGGCGCGUGGAAUUGCAGGUGUAGCGGUGAAAUGCGUAGAUAUCUGGAGGAACACCGGUGGCGAAGGCGGCAUCCUGGACCGGUAUUGACGCUGAGGCGCGAAAGCUAGGGGAGCAAACGGG